AAACCUAAAUCAAUUUUCAUCUCCAUUUUCAAUCACAACCGUUGAUCUUAUGCAAUCAACGCUGAAAUUAAAUUCUCUUUUAAUAUAAUUAAUCCCCAAAAUAAAAAAACGCUAAAUGAAAUCAUUCCCCGACCUCCCAUUUUUGCUUCUUUUCAUCUCUCUCAAAAUUCCAACCACCACCGCCUGCCGCCGCUGGAGCAGACAACUAAAUGACCAUUGAUCUCCCUAACCAGCUCUUCUCUCUCCCCAUAUCCCUCUAUUUGGGGAACGCCGCCUUCCACCGAUGAUGCCACUAGUCCGUCGAACCAAUGAAAACCAACGCCCCGCACCACUGGCCGGCGAAAUCAACCGGCGAACCCCACUGCUCUAGCCGCGCUGCCUCUUCACCUAAAACCCUUCAUAUCUCCUCCUUACACCGCUGCCAGCUACCACUAGACAAUGAAACCAAGCCGCCAACAAAACUAGCCGCGCCUUCCGCCUCUUCUCCCUCACGCCGCCACUCCAAACUCUGUCUAAUUAACACCGAAAAAGAGUUCUUGGAUCAAAAGUAAGAGAAGAGUCAUUGUGGAAUUUGGGUUAUUUGGAGAUCUUCUAAUCUUAAUUUUUUUGUUAUUUAUUAUCUUGAUUUGUAAUAACUAUCGUAUAAACGCUAUGUAUGAUAAGACUAUGGGGACUGCUUAUGGGGCCCCGAGACUAUGUGAUUUGAAUAAAUUAUUUUAUCACUUAAAGCAAAA